rnacentral:rRNA from 1 species
AUUGAACGCUGGCGGCAGGCCUAACACAUGCAAGUCGAGCGGAUGAAGGGAGCUUGCUCCUCGAUUCAGCGGCGGACGGGUGAGUAAUGCCUAGGAAUCUGCCUGGUAGUGGGUGAUACCGUCCGGAAACGGGCGCUACUACCGCAUACGUCCUGAUGGAGACAGUCGGUGUUCUUCGGACCUCCCGCUACCAGAUGAGCCUAGGUCGGAUUAGCUAGUUGGUGGGGUAAAGGCCUACCAAGGCGACGAUCCGUAACUGGUCUUAGAGGAGGAUCAGUCACACUGGAACUGAGACACGGGCCAGACUCCUACGGGAGGCACCAGUGGGGAAUAUUGGACAAUGGGCGAAAGCCUGCUCCAGCCAGGCCGCGUGGGUGAAGAAGGUCCUAGGAUUGUAAAGCACGUUAAGUUGGGAGGAAGGGAAGUAAGUUAACAGCUUGCUGUCGUGAUGUUACCAACAGAAUAAGCACCGGCUAAAUUCGUG